AGCCUUAUAUUCAAAUUAAAUGAUAUAAAAUUGCAAAUUUUAAGGUGUAAGCAUACUAAGGCUU
rnacentral:tRNA from 1 species